rnacentral:piRNA from 1 species
UGGGAUAAUCCGUGUGGCGUGGAUGUGA